UCGUCCAUGCUUUGGCGCUUUAGCUGUAUGAUAGAAUUUAAUAUUUCAUAAAGCUAGAUUACCAAAGCAUGGAAG
rnacentral:pre_miRNA from 1 species